ACGGCUGCUCAGUAACACGUGGACAACCUGCCCUCGGGUGGGGGAUAACCCCGGGAAACUGGGGCUAAUCCCCCAUAGGUGAUGGGUGCUGGAAUGCCCCAUCUCCGAAAGCGCUUAGCGCCCGAGGAUGGGUCUGCGGCGGAUUAGGUAGUUGGUGGGGUAACGGCUCACCAAGCCUAAGAUCCGUACGGGCUGUGGGAGCAGGAGCCCGGAGAUGGACCCUGAGACAAGGGUCCAGGCCCUACGGGGCGCAGCAGGCGCGAAACCUCCGCAAUGCGGGAAACCGCGACGGGGUUAGCCGGAGUGCCCGUGCAUUGCACGGGCUGUCGGGGUGCCUAAACAGCACCCCAUAGCAAGGGCCGGGCAAGGCCGGUGGCAGCCGCCGCGGUAAGACCGGCGGCCCGAGUGGCGGCCACUCUUAUUGGGCCUAAAGCGUCCGUAGCCGGCCCAGUAAGUCCCCCGGGAAAUCUGGUCGCUUAACGAUCAGACUUCCGGGGGAUACUGCUGGGCUAGGGACCGGGAGAGGCCGAGGGUAUUCCCGGGGUAGGGGUGAAAUCCUGUAAUCCCGGGAGGACCACCUGUGGCGAAGGCGCUCGGCUGGAACGGGUCCGACGGUGAGGGACGAAGGCCUGGGGAGCGAACCGGAUUAGAUACCCGGGUAGUCCAGGCUGUAAACGAUGCGGGCUAGGUGUCACCGGAGCUACGAGCUCCGGUGGUGCCGGAGGGAAGCCGUUAAGCCCGCCGCCUGGGAAGUACGGCCGCAAGGCUGAAACUUAAAGGAAUUGGCGGGGGAGCAG
rnacentral:rRNA from 1 species